GCCUUCGUGGUCUAGUGGUUAUGACGCUCACCUUAUCAGCAAGUGGUCGCAGGUUCGAAUCUCGUCGGAGGCA